GAUGAACGCUAGCGGCAGGCUUAAUACAUGCAAGUCGUGGGGCAGCAGGUUUGUAGCAAUACAGAUGCUGGCGACCGGCAAACGGGUGCGGAACACGUACAGAACCUUCCUUUGAGCGGGGAAUAGCCCAGAGAAAUUUGGAUUAAUACCCCAUAGUAUAAUGAAGUGGCAUCACUUUAUUAUUAAAGAUUUAUCACUCGAAGAUGGCUGUGCGGCUGAUUAGGUAGUUGGCGGGGUAAAGGCCCACCAAGCCUGCGAUCAGUAACUGGUGUGAGAGCACGACCAGUCACACGGGCACUGAGACACGGGCCCGACUCCUACGGGGAGGCAGCAGUAAGGAAUAUUGGUCAAUGGAGGCAACUCUGAACCAGCCAUGCCGCGUGGAGGAUGAAGGUCCUCUGGAUUGUAAACUUCUUUAUAUGGGACGAAAAAAGGCUUUUCUAAGUCGUCUGACGGUACCAUAUGAAUAAGCACCGGCUAACUCCGUGCCAGCAGCCGACGG
rnacentral:rRNA from 1 species